CCUACGGGUGGCAGCAGUGAGGAAUAUUGGUCAAUGGGCUUACGCCUGAACCAGCCAAGUCGCGUGAGGGAAGACGGCCCUAUGGAUUGUAAACCUCUUUAGGCGGGGAGCAACGCCGGGUACGUGUACCCGGAGUGAGAGUACCCGAAGAAAAAGCAUCGGCUAACUCCGUGCCAGCAGCCGCGGUAAUACGGAGGAUGCGAGCGUUAUCCGGAUUUAUUGGGUUUAAAGGGUGCGUAGGCGGAAUGCCAAGUCAGCGGUAAAAUCCCGGGGCUCAACCUGGCGCGGCCGUUGAAACUGGGGUUCUUGAGUGGGCGAGAAGUAUGCGGAAUGCGUGGUGUAGCGGUGAAAUGCAUAGAUAUCACGCAGAACUCCGAUUGCGAAGGCAGCAUACCGGCGCCCAACUGACGCUGAAGCACGAAAGCGUGGGGAUCGAACAGGAUUAGAUACCCCAGUAGUC
rnacentral:rRNA from 1 species